rnacentral:lncRNA from 1 species
CACAGGGAGUAAAUACAGAUAUAUUCCUUAUCACUGACAGGCAUUUGCUUCAGCAGUGAGGAGUACACCUGGUACCCAGACCCUGCGUUCUAGGAUCUAAAUCAGGUAAAAUACAAACUGAUCUUGGAGCAUCUUGUGGUGCCCAAAGUAAGGAAGUGCUAAAAAAUAAAAUAAAAUAAAAACUAUACGUUUAAAGACUAGAACUCAAACUGAAAGAGUUCGGAAUGAUUAGAGAGCAAUGAAACAAUGAUAGAAUUGGUUUAUAACCCAAACCAUAAAAUAAAUGCCCUUAAGUCUAUGGUGAUAUAACAAAACAACUUAAUGUAGUUAUAACUCUCCCUUUCAGAAGAAUUCCAAUUAAUAAAUAAAGAAGGAAUAAAGAAAAUAGAAAUACCACUGUUAUGGUUUGGAUAUUGUUAAACCACGAUACAAAGAAAAGACCACCGACUCCAAUUAAAAUCAAAUUAAAGCAAGCUUGUAAUUCUGACUGGCUGGGUUUUCUCUCCCAAAACCCGUGGGAACAGAAGACAGCCUUGCAGCUCUCCAGGAGCACAGCUUUAUAGCACAGAAAGUUACAAAAGGCGGGGGGGGGGGUGUCUUGAGAACUUACAGAAAAC